rnacentral:rRNA from 1 species
AUUGAACGCUGGCGGCAGGCCUAACACAUGCAAGUCGAGCGAACGCAUGGGGCUUGCUCCCGGAUGGGGGAGCGGCCGGGUGGAUCAUGCCUAUGAGUCUGCCUUGACGCGGGGAAUAACGUCCGAAAACGGACGCUGAUCUCGCAUAGGACGAUUUGGCGAAAGUGGAGGGUCCUCGGACCGCUCGGUUUCUGGUGAGGCUAAGUCGGAUUAGCUAGUUGGAGGGGUAAAGGGCUACCAAGGCGAAGAACCGUAACUGGUCUGAGAGGAUGAUCAGUCACACGGGAACUGAGACACGGUCCAGACUCCGACGGGAGGCAGCAGUCGGGAAUAUUGCGCGAUGGGGGAAAGCCUGAUCCAGCCAUGCCGCGUGUGUGAUGAAGGUCUUCUGAUGGGAAAGCACUGUAAGUUGGGAGGAAGUGAAGUUAUUUAAUCCCUGGCUGUAUUGACGGUACCAACAGAAUAAGCACCGGCUAACUUCGUG